GGAGGGUGCAAGCGAUAUCCGGAAUCAUUGGGUUUAAAGGGUCCGUAGGCGGGCAUAUAAGUCAGUGGUGAAAGUCUGUGGCUUAACCAUAGAAUUGCCAUUGAUACUGUAUGUCUUGAAUUAUUGUGAAGUGGUUAGAAUAUGUAGUGUAGCGGUGAAAUGCUUAGGGAUUACAUAGAAUACCGAUUGCGAAGGCAGAUCACUAACAAUAUAUUGACGCUGAUGGACGAAAGCGUAGGUAGCGAACAGGAUUAGAUACCCUGGUAGUCUACGCCCGUAAACGAUGGAUACUAGUUGUUUGGUUUUCGGACUGAGUGACUAAGCGAAAGUGAUAAGUAUCCCCACCUGGGAGUACGUUCGCAAGAAUG
rnacentral:rRNA from 1 species